AAAAUCUAGACUUUGUCUACUAGAACUAUAAUUGCAAAUCGCAUAAAUGUUGUGAUGGUUGAGGAUUGAUUGGUCCUCUAUGGUAAGAUCUUCAAGUUUGUGCUUGAUUACUUUCUACUUUCUACUUCACUAAAUACCACUGAAGUAUUAAUAUUAUAAUCCAUCAAGUAAAGUUUACUAAAACUAUUGGACUUGUUAGAAAUGUAUAGCACUAUAAUGAUCAGAGCAGAUAUAUCAGUUCAUAUUGUUAGAUUGAGAUGGAUUUAAAAUCACCAUUGUUUCUUUGAGUAAAUUCAGUAGGUGAAGAAAACAAAUUAUAUUCCCUAAAAGAUUGAAGAGUUGUACACUUCUUGUUCCCUUUUAUGUUUGAUGGAUUUCUAGCCUAAGAACCUA
rnacentral:lncRNA from 1 species